GAUGAACGCUGGCGGCGUGCCUAAUACAUGCAAGUCGAGCGAACAGACGAGGAGCUUGCUCCUCUGACGUUAGCGGCGGACGGGUGAGUAACACGUGGAUAACCUACCUAUAAGACUGGGAUAACUUCGGGAAACCGGAGCUAAUACCGGAUAAUAUAUUGAACCGCAUGGUUCAAUAGUGAAAGACGGUUUUGCUGUCACUUAUAGAUGGAUCCGCGCCGCAUUAGCUAGUUGGUAAGGUAACGGCUUACCAAGGCGACGAUGCGUAGCCGACCUGAGAGGGUGAUCGGCCACACUGGAACUUAGACACGGUCCCGACUCCUACGGGAGGCAGCAGUAGGGAAUCUUCCGCAAUGGGCGAAAGCCUGACGGAGCAACGCCGCGUGAGUGAUGAAGGUCUUCGGAUCGUAAAACUCUGUUAUUAGGGAAGAACAAAUGUGUAAGUAACUAUGCACGUCUUGACGGUACCUAAUCAGAAAGCCACGGCUAACUACGUG
rnacentral:rRNA from 1 species